rnacentral:tRNA from 1 species
UGCCCGGUGGUGCAACUGGUAGCACAUCAGACUUUGGAUCUGAGUAUCCUGGUUCGAGCCCAGGCUGGGCAG